GGCUUUCUGCGCAACCUGGUCAUCGGCGCCGCUCUCGGCGGUGCGCUGGUGGGCGACGCCUACACCACCGCUCAGAUCCUGCCGGGGAUGGUCU
rnacentral:tRNA from 1 species